AUGGGAUUCGUUUAUGGCAAGCAAAUUUAUCUUUUCUGGAUUUUGUUGAUUGCUUUGGUUUUGGUUUCAGAAUUAUCAAGUACUAGUGAGGGAAAUAUUUUUGGAUUAAAAUGUCAACCUGGAGAUUGUCCACCUAUUCCUCAAUGUAAUCAAAACUGCCUUAGGAUGGGAUAUAGAACUGGUGGUACGUGUUAUGGAUUUUUUCCCAAGAUCGUUCGUUGUUGCUGUCAUGAAGUAUGA